rnacentral:rRNA from 1 species
UACGUAGGGGGCAAGCGUUGUCCGGAAUCAUUGGGCGUAAAGCGCGUGUAGGCGGUUCGGUAAGUCUGCUGUGAAAGUCCAGGGCUCAACCCUGGGAUGCCGGUGGAUACUGUCGGACUAGAGUACGGAAGAGGCGAGUGGAAUUCCCGGUGUAGCGGUGAAAUGCGUAGAUAUUGGGAGGAACACCAGUGGCGAAGGCGGUCCCCUGGGCCGGAACUGACGCUGAGGCGCGAAAGCGUGGGUAGCAAACGGGG